AUUGAACGCUGGCGGCAGGCUUAACACAUGCAAGUCGAGCGGGGUGAUGGUGCUUGCACUAUCACUUAGCGGCGGACGGGUGAGUAAUGCUUAGGAAUCUGCCUAUUAGUGGGGACAACAUCUCGAAAGGGAUGCUAAUACCGCAUACGUCCUACGGGAGAAAGCAGGGGAUCACUUGUGACCUUGCGCUAAUAGAUGAGCCUAAGUCGGAUUAGCUAGUUGGUGGGGUAAAGGCCUACCAAGGCGACGAUCUGUAGCGGGUCUGAGAGGAUGAUCCGCCACACUGGGACUGAGACACGGCCCAGACUCCUACGGGAGGCAGCAGUGGGGAAUAUUGGACAAUAGGGGGAACCCUGAUCCGGCCAUGCCGCGUGUGUGAAGAAGGCCUUAUGGUUGUAAAGCACUUUAAGCGAGGAGGAGGCUCUUUUGGUUAAUACCCAAGAUGAGUGGACGUUACUCGCAGAAUAAGCACCGGCUAACUCUGUGCCAGCCGCCGCAGUAA
rnacentral:rRNA from 1 species